AAGCUCGUAGUUGAAUUUCGGGGUUAGUAGGUUGGUCAUGCCUCUGGUAUGUACUGGUCUCACUGAUUCCUCCUUCCUUAUGAACCGUAAUGCCAUUAAUUUGGUGUUGCGGGGGAAUUUGGACUGUUACUUUGAAAAACUUAGAGUGUUUAAAGCAAGCUAACGCUUGAAUACAUUAGCAUGGAAUAAUGAAAUAGGACGUUCGAUCUUAUUUUGUUUGGUUUUCUUAGGUAUUGACGUAAUGAUUAAUAGGGUAUAGUUGGGU
rnacentral:rRNA from 1 species